rnacentral:rRNA from 1 species
CCUACGGGAGGCAGCAGUGAGGAAUAUUGGUCAAUGGACGAGAGUCUGAACCAGCCAAGUAGCGUGAAGGAUGACUGCCCUAUGGGUUGUAAACUUCUUUUAUAUGGGAAUAAAAUGUUCCACGUGUGGGAUUUUGUAUGUACCAUAUGAAUAAGGAUCGGCUAACUCCGUGCCAGCAGCCGCGGUAAUACGGAGGAUCCGAGCGUUAUCCGGAUUUAUUGGGUUUAAAGGGAGCGUAGGUGGAUUGUUAAGUCAGUUGUGAAAGUUUGCGGCUCAACCGUAAGAUUGCAGUUGAAACUGGCAGUCUUGAGUACAGUAGAGGUGAGCGGAAGUCGAGGUGUAGCGGUGAAAUGCUUAGAUAUCACGAAGAACUCCGAUUGCGAAGGCAGUUCACUGGACUGCAACUGACACUGAGGCUCGAAAGUGUGGGUAUCAAACAGGAUUAGAUACCCUAGUAGUC